CUACGGGGGGCUCCAGUGAGGAAUAUUGCACAAUGGGGGGAACCCUGAUGCAGCAACGCCGCGUGGAGGAUGACGCAUUUCGGUGUGUAAACUCCUUUAUAUGUCAAGAAAAUGACGGUAGCAUAUGAAUAAGCACCGGCUAACUCCGUGCCAGCAGCCGCGGUAAUACGGAGGGUGCAAGCGUUACUCGGAAUCACUGGGCGUAAAGGACGCGUAGGCGGGUUGGAAAGUCAGGUGUGAAAUCCUACAGCUUAACUGUAGAACUGCACUUGAAACUUCUAAUCUAGAGUAUAGGAGGGGGAGAUGGAAUUAGUGGUGUAGGGGUAAAAUCCGUAGAUAUCACUAGGAAUACCUAAAGCGAAGGCGAUCUCCUGGAACAUUACUGACGCUAAGGCGUGAAAGCGUGGGGAGCAAACAGGAUUAGAUACCCUUGUAGUC
rnacentral:rRNA from 1 species